rnacentral:rRNA from 1 species
AUUGAACGCUGGCGGCAGGCCUAACACAUGCAAGUCGAGCGAGCGGCGGACGGGUGAGUAAUGUAUGGGGACUGCCCGAUAGAGGGGGAUAACUACUGGAAACGGUGGCUAAUACCGCAUACUAUCGGAUAACCCAUUUGCGAGUAGCUAGUAGGGGUGGUAAAGGCUCACCUAGGCGGAGAGUUCUAGCUGGUCUGAGAGGAUGAUCAUCAACACUGGGACUGAGACACGGCCCAGACUCCUACGGAGGCAGCGUUGGGGAAUAUUGGACAAGGGGCGCAAGCCUGAUGCAGCCAUGCGGGGUGUCUGAAGAAGGCCUGAGGGUUGUAAAGUACUUUAAUCGGGGAGGCGUUACCCGCAGAAGAAGCACCGGCUAACUCCGUGCCAGCAGCCGCGGUAAUAC